CUCCCGUGUCUCCUACCUCUCGGCAUCUCCGGGCUUGUGCAGGGGUGGUCCUGCUGCCUCUGCUGGAUGACGGCACCCGCAGCCCCCGCCGUCCUGUCUGAGAGAGCGUGUCAGAAAGCUCCGAGGUCCGCAGCUGCCCUUUCAGAGCAAAAGCAUCCUCUGGGUAGCUGAAGCUUGGACUUCUUUCUAAGCAAGGAAUGAGAUGUAAGCCGGGAGACAAGCCUGAGGCUGGAAAGCCACCCGGGAUGGCAGAAUCUUCUGAAGGACUGGAGGCGGCCAGGGCUGAGGUCAAGGCCCCGAUGGAGGCUACAGGCAAGAAUUCUUCACGAUACAAGCUGAGUCAUUAAGGAGUAGAAAAGCCACCAUGUGUGAUCCGAUUCAGGAGAAUGGCUCGGUUUCACCACGCUUAUUCCGAUGAAUUUAAACCAAGUAAGUUUAGUUCAAAUUAACUCAUCGAUAAUUUGUCACAAAUUCUUGCCUCAUAUUUACUUCAUCUUAUGGGAAAUAGGACCCUCAACAUGAAAAGUUAGAAAGCAAUAUCAGAG